rnacentral:rRNA from 1 species
AGGACGAACGCUGGCGGCGUGCUUAACACAUGCAAGUCGAGCGGUGAUCCUCCUUCGGGAGGUGAGCAGCGGCGAACGGGUGAGUAACACGUGGGCAACCUGCCCCUCACACUGGGAUAACCUCGGGAAACCGGGGCUAAUACCGGAUACGACCUCGAGCGGCAUCUCUUGAGGUGGAAAGCUCCGACGGUGAGGGAUGGGCCCGCGGCCUAUCAGCUUGUUGGUGGGGUAAUGGCCUACCAAGGCGACGACGGGUA